rnacentral:rRNA from 1 species
GACGAACGCUGGCGGCGUGCUUAACACAUGCGAGUCGAACGCUGAAGCUCAGCUUUUGUUGGGUGGAUGAGUGGCGAACGGGUGAGUAACACGUGAGUAACCUGCCCCCUUCUUUGGGAUAACGCCCGGAAACGGGUGCUAAUACUGGAUAUUCACUGGUCUUCGCAUGGGGGUUGGUGGAAAGGGUUUUUCUGGUGGGGGAUGGGCUCGCGGCCUAUCAGCUUGUUGGUGGGGUGAUGGCCUACCAAGGCUUUGACGGGUAGCCGGCCUGAGAGGGUGACCGGUCACAUUGGGACUGAGAUACGGCCCAGACUCCUACGGGAGGCAGCAGUGGGGAAUAUUGCACAAUGGGCGCAAGCCUGAUGCAGCGACGCCGCGUGAGGGAUGGAGGCCGUCGGGUUGUGAACCUCUUUCGCUCAUGGUCAAGCCGCAACAAUGGUUGUGGUGAGGGUAGUGGGUAAAGAAGCGCCGGCUAACUACGUG